rnacentral:rRNA from 1 species
GGCUCAGAACGAACGCUGGCGGCGCGUCUUAAGCAUGCAAGUCGAACGGCAUGAGGAAUGCUGCAUUCCUCAGAGAGUGGCGGACUGGUGAGUAACACGUGGGUGACCUACCCUUGAGAUGGGGAUAGCCGUUAGAAAUAGCGGAUAAUACCGAAUACGCUCUACGGACUCUGGUUUGUAGAGGAAACAGGCUACGGCCUGGCUCGAGGAUGGGCCCGCGUCCCAUUAGCUAGUUGGUGAGGUAAGAGCCCACCAAGGCGACGAUGGGUAUCCGGCCUGAGAGGGUGUACGGACACAUUGGGACUGAGAUACGGCCCAAACUCCUACGGGAGGCAGCAGCUAAGAAUAUUCCGCAAUGGACGAAAGUCUGACGGAGCGACGCCGCGUGGAUGACGAAGGCCGAAAGGUUGUAAAAUCCUUUUGCUGAUGAAGAAUAAGCGUGGUAGGGAAUGACCGCGUGAUGACAUUAGUCGGUGAAUAAGCCCCGGCUAACUACGUGCCAGCCGCUGC